GGUGGAGUGGCCGAGAGGCGAGGCGACGGCCCGCAGAGCCGUUCACACAGGUUCGAAUCCUGUCUCCACCUCCG
rnacentral:tRNA from 1 species